GAUGAACGCUGGCGGCGUGCCUAAUACAUGCAAGUCGAGCGAACAGACGAGGAGCUUGCUCCUUCGACGUUAGCGGCGGACGGGUGAGUAACACGUAGGUACCUACCUAUAAGACUGGGAUAACUUCGGGAAACCGGAGCUAAUACCGGAUAAUAUUUCGAACCGCAUGGUUCGAUAGUGAAAGAUGGCUUUGCUAUCACUUAUAGAUGGACCUGCGCCGUAUUAGCUAGUUGGUAAGGUAACGGCUUACCAAGGCAACGAUACGUAGCCGACCUGAGAGGGUGAUCGGCCACACUGGAACUGAGACACGGUCCAGACUCCUACGGGAGGCAGCAGUAGGGAAUCUUCCGCAAUGGGCGAAAGCCUGACGGAGCAACGCCGCGUGAGUGAUGAAGGUCUUCGGAUCGUAAAACUCUGUUAUUAGGGAAGAACAAACGUGUAAGUAACUGUGCACGUCUUGACGGUACCUAAUCAGAAAGCCACGGCUAACUACGUG
rnacentral:rRNA from 1 species